AGUAGAGAUGGGGUUUCACCGUGUUGUCCAGACUGGUCUCGAACUCCUGACCUCGUAAUCCACCCGCCUCAGCCUCCCAAAGUGCUGGGAUUACAGGCGUGAGCCACCAAGCCCAGCCGGAUGCAUUGUCUUUAAUGACAAGGAGGUUUCCCAUAACCUUAGCAGGAGCUGUUUCACCUUACCAGGUCCUGUUUGUUGAAGAGUGGGUGGGAAUAGAGCACCCGUGUGGACCAUUCUUCGAGGAUAUUUCACCGUAAAGAAGAGAAGAGAGGGAGGUAUCUGAAGUGGGUGGGGUGGGAUCAGGGGAACUUUUUAAAAAAUGUAAGUGAGACUAGAAAAUGAUUAAGUGCUAAUAGGAAGGAGAAGUUGAAGAAAGAAGACAAGAGAUCAUCACUAGAUUUCCUGAGAAGACAGGAGGGUAUGGAGUACUGAGAACACUUUGGAAGGAUUUGUUCUAGCUCGGCAGGGGAACACUCCUUCAUCAUCAAAGGAGGGAAGGAGGAAGUAAUAGUUUUGGGGUGCUCACUAGAAUCACCUAGGAAGCUUAAAAAUGUGUGUACUGUUGCCUGCUUUCUGCCCUAAGAUUCUACUUUAAUUGAUCUGCUUUACAGCCUGGAUGUCAGGAUUUUAAACAGGCUCUCUCAGAUGGUUCUAAUGAAUAACCAAGCCUCCAAGGUUUCCACUGGGUUUGAAACAGGUCUGCUUAGGAUUUUUGUAGAUGCUUAGGUCACAGCUUAGGCAGCACUUCCUUAGAGAAGACAUCCAGGGCACGCAUUAAGUUAGGCCCCUGGAUCUAUGGUCCUAUAGCACUGUACUUACUCACUACCUUUACUUCUAAUUUCUUGCAGAAUGCAUGUCUUCCUACUAGAUGGUAAGCUUGUCGGGACCACAUUUGUCCUGUUUACUACUGAAUCCCAGCUGGCAGAAAGUAGCCACUUCAUAAUAUAUUUGGAGCAAAUGCGUCGAUCGGACCAUCAUGUGUAAGGGAGGUCACAGGAUGAAUGAACAGUGUGGUGACCUGGGACACCAUGCCACACUGCUGCAACUGUGUCUGUCUGUGGCUGUGUGUGCGUGCUCUGCACCCCUAGAUGAACUCACCAACAGCAUCUACGGAAAAGCCCAUGGAACUGCUGCUGCCAAGCAAGGGUGAUUAAAUGUAGGGUGAUAACAAUAGGAAGGAGGAAAAUCGUGGGAGAGAAAGGAAGCCAUAGGAGCCCACCCUGCAUUGUGAGAUAAAGAAACUGGAGCUCAGAGAAGUUAACAAACAUGCAUUUAGUAAGUAGCAGAGGUUUGUUUUGAACCCAGGUUGUCUUUCCACAUAACAUGUUUUAUUUAUACAAUGGCCAUUUGUUCAUUAUGUACCAUAAGUUCCAAGCUUUUUAAUACAAAAUAGAUUAAGAUGGCUAUGCUUUUACCUUACCUGCAUGGUUGGUGACUUUGAUGUUAGGUAGGCAAAAUUUUACCUCUACUCUCUUAGGGCUAUUUUGAUUGGGCGUGAGAAUUAAACUGGCAUAAUCAGGCAGGAGGAUCGUGUGAACCCAGAAGUUCAAGGAUGUAGUAAGCUAUGAUCAUCCCCCUGCACUUCAGCCUGA